rnacentral:rRNA from 1 species
AACCCCAAUCAAUAGAUUCACGGCGUAAAACGUGUUUAAGAACUCCAAGUAAUAAAGUUAAACCUUAGCUACGCCGUAAAAAGCCCCAGCUACUGUAAACUCCUCCACGAAAGUGACUUUAGACCAUCUGAAUACACGACAGCUGAGACCCAAACUGGGAUUAGAUACCCCACUAUGCUCAGCCCUAAACUUAAAGAAUUAACCCAACAAAAUUCUUCGCCAGAGUACUACUAGCUAAAGCUUAAAACUCAAAGGACUUGGCGGUGCUUCACAUCCUUCUAGAGGAGCCUGUUCUAUAAUCGAUAAACCCCGAUAAACCUCACCAACCCUUGCCAACU